rnacentral:rRNA from 1 species
AGAGUUUGAUCCUGGCUCAGGAUGAACGCUAGCGGCAGGCCUAACACAUGCAAGUCGAGGGGCAGCGGGGGUGAAGGCAACUUUACCCGCCGGCGACCGGCGCACGGGUGAGUAACGCGUAUGGAACCUGCCCGCCACAGGGGAAUAAUCGGGAGAAAUCCCGUCUAAAGCCCCGUAUGCCCACGAGUCCGCAUGGACUUGCGGGGAAACCUUCGGGGGUGGCGGAUGGCCAUGCGUCGCAUUAGCUAGUUGGCGGGGCAACGGCCCACCAAGGCGACGAUGCGUAGGGGUUCUGAGAGGAAGGUCCCCCACAUUGGUACUGAGACACGGGCCAAACUCCUACGGGAGGCAGCAGUGAGGAAUAUUGGUCAAUGGGCGGGAGCCUGAACCAGCCAAGCCGCGUGAGGGAAGACGGUCCUGCGGAUUGUAAACCUCUUUUGUCGGGGAACAACGGGCGCCACGUGUGGCGCAUUGAGGGUACCCGAAGAAAAAGCAUCGGCUAACUCCGUGCCAGCAGCCGCGGUAAUACGGAGGAUGCGAGCGUUAUCCGGAUUUAUUGGGUUUAAAGGGUGCGCAGGCGGUCUUUCAAGUCGGCGGUCAAAUUUCGGGGCCCAACCCCGACCUGCCGUCGAAACUGAGAGGCUGGAGUUCGGCAGAGGCUGGCGGAAUGUGCGGUGUAGCGGUGAAAUGCAUAGAUAUCGCGCAGAACUCCGUUUGCGAAGGCGGCCAGCCAUGCCUGGACUGACGCUGAGGCACGAAAGUGUGGGUAUCGAACAGGAAUUAGAUACCCUGGUAGUCCACACAGUAAACGAUGAAUAACUUGCUGUCCGGGCCGAAUGGGGCCUGGGUGGCGCAGCGAAAGCGUUAAGUAUUCCACCUGGGGAGUACGCCGGCAACGGUGAAACUCAAAGGAAUUGACGGGGGCCCGCACAAGCGGAGGAACAUGUGGUUUAAUUCGAUGAUACGCGAGGAACCUUACCCGGGCUCAAACGCAGGGGGACAGCCGGUGAAAGCCGGUUUCCGGCAACGGCCGCCUGCGAGGUGCUGCAUGGUUGUCGUCAGCUCGUGCCGUGAGGUGUCGGCUUAAGUGCCAUAACGAGCGCAACCCCCGUCUCCGGUUGCUAACGGGUAGAGCCGAGGACUCCGGAGAGACUGCCGGCGCAAGCUGCGAGGAAGGCGGGGAUGACGUCAAAUCAGCACGGCCCUUACGUCCGGGGCGACACACGUGUUACAAUGGCGGGGCACAGCGGGGUGCUGGUCGGCGACGGCCGGCGGAUCCCGAAAACCCGUCUCAGUUCGGAUUGGAGUCUGCAACCCGACUCCAUGAAGCUGGAUUCGCUAGUAAUCGCGCAUCAGCCACGGCGCGGUGAAUACGUUCCCGGGCCUUGCACACCCGCCCGUCA